UGCAGAUGAUGUGGAAGAAUAUUUGCUAUCUGAGGCGCGGUGCGGACGCCCUUAACCACCAAGAUCGCUGAUGCA